UUGAAGUUUACUUUGUAAUUUGCUGACGUUUCUCCUUCCCCCCCUCUCAUUCUUCCCCUGCCUCCUGCUUACAGAUGUGACCAACUGUUCCACAAUAGGGAAAUUCCGAGGAGUUCAGAUUCUUUCAUUCCUUCUGGUCCGAGGCAGCAUUGGUAUCAAGUGUUCCUAACAGGUGGAGGCAUAGGGGGUAUUGGUCAUACUGGUGUUGUUGGCGAGGACAAAGCUUGGGUAUCGGGCAGAAUGUUGCCACCUGCAUGAGUGGAACAGAGGAGCCUCAGUUCUGGUUCUCUUUCCUGAGACAACAACCACAGGAUGAGGCUUGAGAGGAGGUCUCAGGAGAGAGAAUGUUCCAUGACUUUCACACCUUCAACCUCAAGGUAAGCCUCCAUGCUUUAUAACUCCAG